GUGAAGUGCGGCCACCCCAUGAAAAAGACUUCGAUCCGUGGACAAGGUCCUAUCAGAGGUGGACUUUGAGGAGCGCUUUGCGGAGCUGCCCGAGUUCCGGCCCGAGGAGGUGCUGCCCUCCCCCACCCUGCAGGCACUGGCCACAUCCCCAAGGGCCAUAUUGGGGUCCUAUAGGAAGAAGAGGAAGAACUCCACUGACCUGGAUUCCUCUGGAAGACACGCCUCGUCCCCAAACGCAAAUUGCGCCGUCGCUCGAGCUGCCAGCUCAGAGCCAGCACCCCAAAAAGCGGCCACAAGUGUGAGGGGACGUCUGUUCACCUUCGACAGGGCCGGUACGGGACCCA